GUUCCUGUAGUGUAGUGGUUAUCACGUUCGCUUUACACGCGAAAGGUCUCAGGUUCGAGCCCUGGCAGGAACA